GGCGUCAGGAUGAACGCUGGCGGCGUGCUAACACAUGCAAGUCGAACGAAGCGCUACCGACGGAACUUUUCGGAGGGAAGAUGGUAAUGACUGAGUGGCGGACGGGUGAGUAACGCGUGGGUAACCUGCCUCACAGAGGGGGACAACAGCCGGAAACGGCUGCUAAUACCGCAUAACAAGGGAUCUCCGCAUGAAGGUUCCUUCAAAGAUUUAUCGCUGUGAGAUGGACCCGCGUCUGAUUAGCUAGUUGGCAGGGUAACGGCCUACCAAGGCGACGAUCAGUAGCCGGCUUGAGAGAGUGAACGGCCACAUUGGGACUGAGACACGGCCCAGACUCCUACGGGAGGCAGCAGUGGGGAAUAUUGCACAAUGGGGGAAACCCUGAUGCAGCGACGCCGCGUGAGUGAAGAAGUAUUUCGGUAUGUAAAGCUCUAUCAGCAGGGAAGAUAAUGACGGCACCUGACUAAGAAGCCCCGGCUAACUACGUG
rnacentral:rRNA from 1 species